rnacentral:rRNA from 1 species
UACGUAGGGGGCAAGCGUUAUCCGGAUUUGCUGGGUGUAAAGGGAGCGCAGGCGGCCUGGCAAGCCUGAUGUGAAAUACCGGGGCCCAACCCCGGGGCUGCAUUGGGAACUGCCAGGCUGGAGUGCCGGAGAGGCAGGCGGAAUUCCUAGUGUAGCGGUGAAAUGCGUAGAUAUUAGGAGGAACACCAGUGGCGAAGGCGGCCUGCUGGACGGUGACUGACGCUGAGGCUCGAAAGCGUGGGGAGCAAACAGG